UUUACCUUAUAUUUAUUCCUAUGUAUUUUAGUUGCUAUUGUAAUGACAUAUUACUUCCUUUGCAUUUCUAACUGCUCUUUGCUAGUAUCAUGCUACACUUUGCUGCCUUGGCCUCCCAAAGUGCUAGGAUUAUUUACAGGCAUGAGCCACCAUGCCCAGCCUUCAUUGUGGAGUAUUUUCAAAGGGAUAGUAAUCCCUGAAACCUCAACCCCUAAGAAAACAUUAAUUCUCAACCUCUCCAUACAAAGUGUUUCAUGUGCAUGUGAGCUCUAGCACACUGUCUACACAGUGCAGGCCAGAUUCGAAUCUGAAGAGUUACACUCUGCCAUUUCAUUAAAGUCCUGCCAAUUCAGAUCAACAAAAUUGAUAGACCACUAGCAAGACUAAUUAAGAAGAAAAUAGAGAACAAUCAAAUAGACGCAAUAAAAAAUGAUAAAAGGGAUAGCACCACCAAUCCCACAGAAAUACAAACUACCAUCAGAGAAUACUAUAAAAAUCUCUAUGCAAAUAAACUAGAAAAUCUAGAAGAAAUGGAUAAAUCCCUUGACACAUACACCCUCCCAAGACU
rnacentral:lncRNA from 1 species